UAAAGAAAACGUCCGUCUCGACUCUCGCUUGACCUCGUAUUUGAGAGCUCUUGCUCCAAGCUGUUCUCUCAGUUAAGUCAGUGUUACAAGGUCGAAUAAGCAGAAUAACACACUAUAACAAUAGCGUCAUCACUACAUCACCAAUAACAUAAUGACCGUCACUGCGAGAACGAACACGGCGUCGAAGGCGAGGCAAAAA